CAAGUCAAGGGGGCCCAGCAAUGGGCAACCGGCGAACGGGUGCGUAACACGUGAGCAACCUACCGAACUGUGGGGGAUAGCCGGCCUAACGGCCGAGUAAUACCGCAUACGCUUUCAGUGAGGCAUUUCAUUGAAAGGAAACCUACGGGACAGAUCGAGGGGCUCGCGGCCUAUCAGCUAGUUGGCGAGGUAAUGGCUCACCAAGGCUACGACGGGUAGCUGGUCUGAGAGGAUGGCCAGCCACAUUGGGACUGAGAUACGGCCCAGACUCCUACGGGAGGCAGCAGUGGGGAAUCUUGCGCAAUGGCCUAACGGCUGACGCAGCGACGCCGCGUGUGGGAUGAAGCUCUUCGGAGUGUAAACCACUGUUGCCCGGGACGAAUAGCUCGAUUAAUCGAGCCUGACGGUACCGGGUGAGGAAGCACCGGCUAACUCCGUGCCAGCAGCCGCGGUAAUACGGGGGGUGCGAGCGUUGUCCGGAAUCACUGGGCGUAAAGGGCGCGUAGGUGGUUUGAUAAGGGUGUGGUGAAAGCCCGGGGCUCAACCCCGGGUCUGCCGUGCCGACUGUCAAACUCGAGGGCUGUAGAGGCAGACGGAAUUCCGGGUGUAGCGGUGGAAUGCGUAGAGAUCCGGAGGAAGACCGGUGGCGAAGGCGGUCUGCUGGGCAGUUUCUGACACUGAUGCGCGACAGCGUGGGGAGCAAACAGGAUUAGAUACCCUG
rnacentral:rRNA from 1 species